GGGACCUACGGGGGGCAGCAGUGGGGAAUAUUGCACAAUGGGGGAGACCCUGAUGCAGCAACGCCGCGUGAGUGAAGAAGUCAUUCGUGAUGUAAAGCUCUCUCAGCAGGGAAGAAAAUGACGGUACCUGAGUAAGAAGCCCCGGCUAACUACGUGCCAGCAGCCGCGGUAAUACGUAGGGGGCAAGCGUUAUCCGGAUUUACUGGGUGUAAAGGGAGCGUAGACGGCCAGACAAGUCUGAAGUGAAAAUCCA
rnacentral:rRNA from 1 species